GUUUAAAUAUAGCAGCUUGUUAUCUGGUAGUUUCUAGUGUACAAAAUAUCAAUCUGUUUUCUAUCACUUAGAUCUGUGUAACAAGUGUUGUAAUUGUGAAACAAUAUUACAAGUGACUGAUGUAGUAAAUUUGAAUAAAAGUUACGGUUCGAUUUGACUCUCAGAUAUGAAGUGAACACCCCAAAUAUACUAUUUAGCGCCCCCCCAAAAAAUGUGACUUUUUAAAACUCCAAUAUAAGCAGCAGAUUAGCAGCAAAACAAUUAGAAUGUUUACAACUGUGCAGUAAGCGCACUAUUUGACGCUUCUAUUUGACUCUCAGAUAUGACGUGCACCGCAGGCCGCAAAUGUACUAUUUAGCAGAUUAGCAGCAAAACAAUUAGAAUGUUUACAACUGCGCAGUAAGCACAAUAUUAGACGCUUCUAUUUG